GAGUUUGAUCCUGGCUCAGAACGAACGCUGGCGGCGUGCCUAACACAUGCAAGUCGAGCGGACUUACAUCAGUAGUAAUACUGGUGUGAGUUAGCGGCGCACGGGUGAGUAACGYGUGGGUAACCUGCCCUCGAGACUGGGAUAACUUGCCGAAAGGUGGGCUAAUACCGGAUAAGACCACGUCCCUCUGRRRGAGUGGUAAAAGGUGGCCUCUAUUUAUAAGCUACCGUAUCAGGAUGAGUCCGCGUACCWUUAGCUAGUUGGUGGGGUAAUGGCCCACCAAGGCUACGAUGGUUAGCUGGUCUGAGAGGAUGAUCAGCCACACUGGAACUGAGACACGGUCCAGACUCCUACGGGAGGCAGCAGUGGGGAAUUUUGCGCAAUGGGGGWAACCCYGACGCAGCAACSCCGCGUGAGUGAKGAAGGCYUUCGGGUCGUAAAGUUCUGUCAGAGGGGAAGAAAUGGAAACGGAUAAUACCCGUUUUUCUUGWCGGUACCCUCAAAGGAAGCACCGGCUAACUCCGUGCCAGCAGCCGCGGUAAUAC
rnacentral:rRNA from 1 species